rnacentral:rRNA from 1 species
AUGGUGGAUGGGGGUGUCGCACAUGCCAGUGGUCUAGGGGCAGCAGUAGCGGUAUGCAGAGACCAGUAGGGUCAACACAUGGGUUCUUCCUCGUUGGUCAUUUCAGGAGUGGUGGAUCCGGUAGUGCUGGAAGUAAUCGCGUGCCGUGAGGCGCUGGCAUUAGCCAAAGACCUAUCCCUCCAGAAUUUCAUGGUGGCCUACGACUGCAAGCAGGUGGUAGCUGAUAUACAAGGAGGGACUGGAGGAGCUUAUUUAUCAGUCAUCAGAGAAAUUUGUGUAAGAAGUCUUGCUUUUAAUAAUUGUAGCUUUAUUUUCGAAAAUAGAGCAUCAAAUAGUGAUGCACACAAUCUUGCCAAACGCACUCUUUCUCUUGAUCAGGGUCGCCAUUUGUGGCUUUUAUGCCCUCAUGACCCAGCAUGUAUUCCCCUCAAUGCUACCAUAGAUCAAUGUAAGUGUUGGCACCCCUAA